rnacentral:lncRNA from 1 species
CUGAGGCCCUUUCCACUCCUUUUUUUAUUCCAGUCCUACAGAAUGGCCUUAAGGGGCAUUGUUGUCCCUCUCCUUUCCCUUAACAUCAUGGGAAAGCAAAGAACCAAGUAAAGACAGGGGCCUGGAGGUAUAGGAAAGCAUGGAUCAAUCAUAUUUGAGUUUUGAGAAGUCAAGUAUCUGCAAACCGCUCCUGCCCUGCUGUCUUCUGCCCUGGUAUACAACCCGGUGAGCCAGAGGAGACAGCAAACUGGGCUUUCUAAGGCUUUUUUGUUUGUUUGUUUGUUUGUUUGGUGCUGAGAAUCAAACAAUACAAUGCCUCAGGGUGAUUGGAAGCAGACAGACUAACAUACUAGGCAGGCACUCCCUCAAUGAACUACCCAGAAGUGGAUUUUCAAAGACUGUCCCAGCUGUCUAUCCUCCUGGAGAGCAAGCACAGCCUUCUAGAUCUCCUUGCAUUGCCUGGACUCAGCUGUAUAAAAUAGUCAUCAGCUGCCCAACCACCACUGUCCAUCAAGGAAAGAAAGAGGUAAGAGAUUCAUAUCCUUUUAUAUUUUAGACAGAAUCUGAAAUUAGAGUUGAUAUAAUUGUAUGUGCACCCUUCCAAUUAAGUGCAAUUUCCUGCAGAGUUUCUAAAUUUAGAAGCCUCUUUCCUCUAUGCCAUCCUUAUCACAUCAGCUUCCUAACAUUUAAAUUAUUUUUUUCCUUUAGGAGGGGUAGAAAACUCAUAAAUUGACAUGUUGCUAUGAGGAGGCUGCAAACAAACCAUUGUAGAAGAAAGUUCAUACAUUUUUGAAGCUGAGAAUAAUUAUGUCAAUAAUAUUGGCUACAAUGAAUUUUAUGUCAUAUCUCAGAUCUGCAGGGCUAUUAUAAUAUUCCUAACAGUUCUUUUCAAUAGGGUAGAAGACUCAGGAGCAAGGUUGGCCUAAAAGACCUUGUGAUAAAGAAUUAUUAUUAAAAAUAUUCAUUUCUGCACUAAGGCUUGAGGAAACAUGCAGUGACAUAUGGAUCAGUGCUGAAACUUUAAAUCUUUAAUUGACUUUUUAUAGGUCUGUACACUGAAUAUUAAACAGAAGGAUUUCUCCUUGUUACAUUUCCAAGAUAAUUAUGCACUCUGUUUUGUUCAGUAAUUUUAUCUUUUUGUUUUCAAACUGGCUUUUAGCUACCUGAUUCUAAGAUUACUCUGUUUAAGACUAACCUACCAUCAUCCUCAAAACCUGCCCUUUAACACUGUCAUCUUGCUGCAUAGUGACACAGUUAUGUAAACAUUGCACAUUUCCAGUUACCUGGUAAUGCCUCAUCAGGAGGGCAUAGAUAAUCCUAAAAUAUUUGUGCAAAGUACUUCAUUUUCAAGAUUUUUUGCCAAACCUUUCCCAAAAGUGUGCCAAUAAAAAAUAAUCAAUUGAAUUUCCAAUUUAUCCUCCUGACCACUUUUACUGAUAAAAGUGAGAAUGAUAAUAAGCAGAAAAUAAAGGAUAACAGUUGAUAUACAUACAACGUGCACUCUAAUGCAGAAAUGAGAGCUGGCUCAAAUUCAACAUGCCUUUCUUUUUUCUUUCUUAAUAAUCACUGGAGAUCCAAACUUCACUCUAAAUUGAGAUUUUUUGCUAGAAUUCAUAUAUCUGGGCCUGACUAGGGCCCAGGAACAGUGUGGCAAGAUGACUUUAGUACCCUGGAGCAGUUCUCUACCCUGGAGCAGUCUUUUAAGCAUUGGUACCAGGUCUAAUGGCCAGACAGCUUGUUCAACCUGGUGGGUGACCAAGACCUCAGCAUCGACAUCAAGAACAGCCAGUAUAGAAAAUAAAGAAUGGAUAUCACAUGAAAAUGAGAGGCCCUGAGUCUAUGUGCACAUGAGAUACACUAGAAGUAAAUCAGAGUAGGCUAAAACUAGGAAAAUAGUAUCAUUCUUAAUGUCUCCUGGCUGCCUUUCUAUUCAGGCUAGAAAGCCCUAGGGAAAGAGGAAUUACAGAUAUGUCUGGGAUGACAUAUUUUUAUUUUAAAGAUAUGAAAAAUCAAACACCCAUAUACAAACAUAUCUGUAGUUCAGUGUUUCUUCUUUUUCCACCUUUGAGGUCACUUACUUUCUCUGCAUCCUUGGAUAAUCUGUCUGGGUUUUUGUAACAGUUGUCAGGUAGAGCAUUAAGCUUUCCCUGAUAAAAGACUGGAAUGAUCUGUCUGUAUCAAGUCAACCAGAGUUUAAAAUGCUCAAAAUCCUCGUAAACACCAAAAUUUGUUCAGAAAAUACACUGUCUCAUAAGUCUUAUUCUGUUUUCUAAACCAAAAGAGAACACAUUCGCAUGAGAGAAUAAAUCUAAAAGGAAAUGUAUUUCUUUUCUCACCUUGCCAACUGUUCUCCCUUCCCUGUGGGGGAGCACAUAUAUUUUGUAUUUAAUGAAGGAACGAGUGGGUACAGCCAUGGCUGCGUGCUGCCUUGGAGCACUGCCUAGUGGCCUGGCAGAGUGGGAAUUGACUUGUUCUGCUUUGUAGACACAGUUCAUUCCUGUCAGAAGUUGUUCAAACCAUAGUCUGUGAUUUUUAAGAAUCUAGGGGGGAAAUGAAAAAGGUCACAGGACUGGAGACAGGAGACAACAUUUCCAGAUGCAAGAGAAAGCUGGAUGCUACAUAAUGCAGACUAGUGAGUGCAGUUGUUAGGACUAUGUUAGUCAUCAAGAAGAGGUACCAACACCAGAAUCAUAAUCAAAUACUGGGAAAGGAACUGUAAAGUAAAACAAAAUCCCAACAAUAGACAUGUUCGAAUUUCAUCUUUGCAACUUCCUCGCUCUGACUUUAGGUCAAUAACUUCAUCUCUCUAAGAUAGUGAAAUGAAGAUCCUGGUGGUAACCUAAACAUGAAGUUUUGUCAUGUGGUUUGAAUGUUUUUAAUGGAAAUUCAUGUGGGAUCACAAAAAUUGUAUGCAAAUGCAUAAAGAGUGGGCUGAACAAGUGGUGCACACCUGUAAUCAUGUCUACUAAGGAGGCAAAGGCAGGAGAUCUCAAGUUGGAGCCUGCCCUGGGCAACUUAGCAAGACACUGUCUCAAAAUAAAAUUUUAAAAAGGGCCGUGGAUGUAGAUUAGUAGCAGCCUAUUUGCUUAAUAUGUGUAAGACGCUGGUUCAAUCCCCAGGACUUUGAAAAUAAAGAAGUAAAACAAAAAUGGUUAGACUACUAGAAAAACAUUAGGAUUCUUUUGAUCCUAUUAUCCUAUUUUUUUUCCUUCAAUUUGUAGUAGAAUCAAGAAGAAAAUCAAGUUUCAAUGAUAACAGGAAGAACAAGAACAAAGACUGUUGCUGUUACUGAAUAGCUACUGUUUCUCCAGAAGAGAUGUGAUCAAUACACUUACAAAUGACAAUGAUUUUCAGUCCCUGAGAAACUGCGUCAAGAUAAACUAGAAAAGGAUUUCAAAACAAAUCGCCUCUUUUUUCAGAACAUAGGUUUUAUAUUUUUUAAUAUAUGAUAAAAACAUUACAAUGUUAUUUCUCUAUGUUUUGAAGUGCAUGCACACUGUGGGUGGGUUAAAUCAGUCUAGUUAACAAACGUAUUCCUGCUCAUGGGUAUCAUUUUCAUGGUUAAAUGGUCCUUACAUCUCCCAAGGACAUAAUAUGCCAUCAUUAACUAUAGUCAAAAAAGUACUUCACAUUCUAUAUAUCAAAGGAACUUUCCAUAUAUAAUAGAAGUAAGAUUUUUUUCCUAAGAUUACAUGAAUUAAUUUAUAGUGUAACAUGAUCUUUCAAUUUAAUAAAAAAAUAAUCAAGUGAUGCAUUUGCCUAAGAUUACAACAAUUAACAUACUGGGUGCAGCCUCUGCAGCCAUGAACUUACAGUUCAUUUUGCAAUUUGUAAAAACAUACAUGCUGUUUCCAGUAAUUUACUACAAAUAAGUGUCUCCUUUAUAAGGGAAUUUCAAAACAACCCUUCCUACACUUCCUUACAUUUAAUGAGCUAUCCUAUCAUGUGUAUUGGUACUUACAUUACCUUUAGGAUUAGCAAAAAAGUCUAUGGCCAUCCCAUUCUGUGGGAAUGUACCAAACACUGGAACUGGGAAAACAGAGCUGAAAAUACUUACAUAAUAACUCCCAUUUAGAAUCAGAUUCUAACAGUACCUCAUCUUGGUGAUCAAGGAUACAGAAUCUUAGAGGAGCAAGUUUUCCAGUUCAAAUGUUUAACUUUAAAAAGAAAAAAAAAUCUUCACACAUCUGCUUAUCAAAGGUCUCAGCUAUUUUUAUCCUAGUGUGGGCUCUAGCUUUACUGGAACUAUUCAAAGCACAAAGCUACAAAGUUUCAAUGCCUAAACCAUUAUUUUUCCUACUUCCAUAAGAGAAAAGUGAAAGAAAAAGAAAAUACUCUGUGUAUCAAGAAGUCUACAAAGUAAAGGAUUAUUAGAUUAUAAUAGUCCCAUUUAUUGAUUCUUGAUUUUAUUUCUCACACUUUAGGGGUCUUGUUAAGAAGUCAGAGCCUAGGCCAACAUGGUGAAGAUUUGGACCUACUUUUUCUU